rnacentral:lncRNA from 1 species
UGAGCUCUUCGGCCCAAGUGGUCCCCCCGGCCUUAAGCGGCAUAGUGAGCUCUUCCAAACAGGUGGGCUCCCUAGCAUUGACCGACAGAGUGAGCUCUGCCACCCAGGACAUCCCCCUGGCAUUGACUGGCAUAGAUGCUGACCCUGGAGGAAGACUUGUGUCGGGCCCCCAGGCCCCAGGCCAGUGUCCAUCAGCCAGGUGCUCAGCUCCCAGUGCGCUGAAGCUCAGACCCUUCCUGGCACCCUGGUGUCCAGCACUGAGCUGUGUGAGCUUUUCCACCCAGGUGGGCCCCCUGGCAUUGACCGACAUAGUGGCAGGGAGAGCCAAGGGUGCCCCACAUUGGUGACGAGUCAGUAUUUUGCAUGGAUCUCAUCACACGUGACCAUGAAGGACGAGCAAGCAUGAGCUGGCACCAGCCACCCCCUUCUCCGCGUGGAGGGUGGUCACAUGUCCUCCACCUGUGCCCCCAGAUGAUGAGACUGGAGGAAGACUUCCAUUGGGCCCACUUUUCCUGGGCCAGUGUCCAUCAGCCAGGUGCUCAGCCCCUGGUGUACUGAAGCUCCAGCCUUUCCUGGUGCCCCAGUCUUCUGCACUAAGCUGUGUGAGCUCUUCCACCCAGGAGGGCCCCUUGGCAUUGACUGGCAUAGAUGGUGAGACGGGAGGAAGACUUGUGUUGGGCCUGCUGUUCCUGGGCCAGUGGCCAUCAGCCUGUUGCCCAGCCCCUGAGGCGCUGAAGCUCAGGCCCUUCCUCACACCCUGGUCUCCUGCACUAGCUGUGUGAGCUCUUCUGCCCAGGUGGGGCCCAUGGCCUUACACGACAUAGGAGCACGCAUUUCUUGAAGUCCUGCAAAGGUGAUGGUGGUCCAGACAGGAGAGGGUUCCUUCAGCCCAACAUAGCGCAGCUCCCAGCUGAAACUCGGAAGGCUGGUCAGGCCUCGAGGACUGCCCAGGCCACAUGAGGGUUUGGUGGCCGGGAGGGCCAAUGAUGCUCUGCGUCUGUGUUGGAUCAGUGUUCUUCAUGGAUUCCAUCACAUGGUGAGCCUUGAGGAAGACUUGUAUUGGGCCCCCACAGGCCCCAGGCCAGUGUCCGUCAGCCUGGUGCUCACCCCCAGUGUGCUGAAGCUCAGACCCUCCGUGGCACCCUGGUCUCCUGCACUGAGCUGUGUGAACUUUUCCUCCCAGAUGGGCCCCCUGGCAUUGACUGGCAUAGAUGGUGAGACCGGAGGAAGACUUGCAUUGGGCCUGUUGUUCCUGGGCCAGUGGCCAUCAGCCUGUUGCCCAGCCCCUGAUGCGCUGAAGCUCGGGCCCUUCCUCGCGCCCUGGUCUCCUGCACUGAGCUGUGUGAGCUCUUCUGCCCAGGUGAGGCCCAUGGCCUUAAGCGGCAUAGAUGGUGAGUCUGGAGGAAGACUUGUGUUGGACCCCCACAGGCCCCAGGCCAGUGUCCAUCAGCCUGGUGCUAAUCCCCCAGUGCUCUGGAGUUUGGACCCUCCCUGGCACCCUGGUCUCCUGCACUGAGCUGUGUGAGCUCUUCCACCCGGGCGGGCCCCCGGCAUUGACUGGCAUAGGUGGUGAGCCCGGAGGAGGACUUGCGUUCGGCCCGCUGGUCCCAGUGUGUCCGGAAUUGGUGGGUUCUUGGUCUCACUGACUUCAAGAAUGAAGCUGCGGACCCUCGCUAUGAUGAUAUGGAAGAAAAGCACUCUUUGGCCUGUUGUGACUGGGACAGUUGACAGCACCCAGGUGUCCUUUAAUGAAAAUGCUCUUGACACCAAUGCAUCCUAGCAUCACAGCUUCAGGAAGCCUUCUCAAGUGUGCAUGGGGAGUACUAUGUCUUUCAUCAAUAAUGAAAUCUUCUGAUUUGUAAGACAUGCUGCCAAGAGAUGUGCCAUUCUAUUAUAAAAGAUCAGUAGCUUCCUUUACCGACGUGUAUAUUCUAUCUAGAACAUUGAGCUAUGGAAGACUCCCACCUAAGGGAAUUAGUUUUACACCUUCAGAUAAAGACUGCUGAGAAGAGCACCCUCUGGUGUUGUCACAGAGGCAAGUGCUACCGCACAGGCAUGCUGCAGUGAAUUUAACUGAUCCUCUGUCCCUGCAACCGUUGUUUAAGGAUGCUAUUCUGAAAAGACUGUGGAGGAAGAAAACCCUUUACCCUGUUGUUCAGGGAGAAACUGACACCACUCAACUGCCUGGCACUGAAAAUGUGGCAUCCAGUCCACUUUACCAUCAGUGUUUAAGGAAACCAUCUCUGAUAAGGAUGACUGAGGAAGAGUACUCUUUGGCUUGUUGACACCAGCACAGCUGACACACCCAGAUAUCUGUUUGGUCUCCUGUGAACUUUCAACCAGGAUUUAAGGAUGCCACUCUGGUUAAAAGCUGAAACAACUUCAAGGAAACUUCAGGGAAAAGAGAAGGCCUGGAAUCUGAUCCUCCACUUCAGAGAACAGGGGUGGUGGAGUCUAUGGCCCUUCUCCUUGAAUCUGAGUGAAAUUAGUGAGUCUUUCAAUCCAAAGACUACAGUCAUACCUCAACUAUCUACAGAGGACUGGUUCCAGGACUCCCAUGGAUCCCAAAAUCCAAGGAUGCUUCGAAUCCCUUAUAUAAAAUGGCAUGGUAUUUGCAUAUAACCUACAUGCAUCUUCAAAUAUGUUAAACCAUCUCUAGAUUACUUAUAAUACCAAAUACAAUGUAAUGCUAUGUAAACAGUUGUUACAAUGUAUUGUCAAAGACAAGCUCUCCUUGCCAAUCCCUGACCAAAUGAGAGAUUCAUGAGCAAAAUAAAUAGUUGCUGAUAUUUAAGGCACUAAGUUUGGGGCAAUGUAUUACACAGCAAUAAAUAACUGGAACAGCAUAGUAAAUUCUAGUUAAAAAUACUAAACUACUAAGUUUUAGUUAACAUACAUGCUCAAGUUAAGGGUGUGGUAUACUAACAACUGCAACUUACUUUGAAAAGCAUAAAAAAAGACACUAGAAGAAGACAGGAUGGAUAGAUGGACAAGAUAGAAGACAAUAACAAAUAGAACAAAAUGUUGUGAAAUUAUAUUCUACAAUUAUUUUAAAGUCUGUGUGGUUUGAAAAAUUGUACGAUAAAAUGAAGAGUGAAAUAAAGACAUUUCCAUACAAACAAAAGCUGAAAGAUUUUGUAGCCAGUAGACCUAUACUUUAGAAAUGUUUAAGAAAUUUUUUCAAGUAAAAGGAAAAUAACACCAGCAACAAACUUGGAUCUACAAAAAGGAAUCUCCACAAAGAAAAAUAAAUAAAAAUGGUAAAUAUGAAGGUAAAUAUAAAGGAAUGUUAUUCUUAGUUUUUAAGUUUCUUCGUAAGACAACUGGCCUUUGAAAGAAAUAGUUUCAAACGCUGCUGUGGAAUCUAUAACACAUAUAGAAGUAAAAUGUUAAGAUCAUAAUACCAAAAAGAAUGAGGGAGAGUAAAUGGAUGUAUACUAUUCCAAAAUUCUUACAUUAUACAUUAAGAGGAAUAAUAUUUUUGAAGGUAGAUUGAGGUAAGUUAAAGGUGCAUAUUGUAAAUCCUAGAAGUAUCACUGGGGGGAAAAAAAACAGAGGGACAAGCUAAUAAUGGAGACAAUACAAAAUUCCAAAAAUGCUCCAUUAACCGAAAAGAAGGCAGAAAAGGAAGAAAAGAUUAGACAAAUAGAAAACAAAUAGUGUCUUAAACACAAUUAUAUUGCCAACUGCAAUAAAUGUAAAUGGACUUAAUCAAAAAGCAACGAUCGUAAAAAGUCAAUCUGAAAGCAAGAUGCAACUAUAUGCUAUCUAAAAGAAAGACAUUAAAUGACCAAUAAGCUGAAAAUAAAAACACAGCAAAAUGAUAUAAUGUGCAAAAAUUAAUCAUAAGAAAGGAAUGGAUACACUAAUAUCAAAGUAGACUUUAGAUAAGGAACAUUACCAGCGAUAAACAGAGACAUUUCAUAAUGAUAAAGACAUCAAUUAAUCAAGGAGAUCUAACAGUCCUAAAUGUGAACACACCUAAGGACACAA